rnacentral:rRNA from 1 species
GGCGCACGGGUGAGUAACGCGUAUCCAACCUGCCCACCACUUGGGGAUAACCUUGCGAAAGUAAGACUAAUACCCAAUGACGUCUCUAGAAGACAUCUGAAGGAGAUUAAAGAUUUAUCGGUGAUGGAUGGGGAUGCGUCUGAUUAGCUUGUUGGCGGGGUAACGGCCCACCAAGGCGACGAUCAGUAGGGGUUCUGAGAGGAAGGUCCCCCACAUUGGAACUGAGACACGGUCCAAACUCCUACGGGAGGCAGCAGUGAGGAAUAUUGGUCAAUGGACGAGAGUCUGAAUCAGCCAAGUAGCGUGCAGGAUGACGGCCCUAUGGGUUGUAAACUGCUUUUAUAAGGGAAUAAAGUGAGAGUCGUGACUCUUUUUGCAUGUACCUUAUGAAUAAGGACCGGCUAAUUCCGUGCCAGCAGCCGCGGUAAUACGGAAGGUCCGGGCGUUAUCCGGAUUUAUUGGGUUUAAAGGGAGCGUAGGCCGGAGAUUAAGCGUGUUGUGAAAUGUAGAUGCUCAACAUCUGAACUGCAGCGCGAACUGGUUUCCUUGAGUACGCACAAAGUGGGCGGAAUUCGUGGUGUAGCGGUGAAAUGCUUAGAUAUCACGAAGAACUCCGAUUGCGAAGGCAGCUCACUGGAGCGCAACUGACGCUGAAGCUCGAAAG